rnacentral:lncRNA from 1 species
CUGAGUGUCAUAUCCAGCAUACGCUCACAUAUGAACUUUCGGAUAGUCAGGCGUUUAGCUAUCCCAUAACUAGCCCAGCUUCCACACUUGGCUUCAAGUCAUGAAAAGGAGACAAUUCAGACUUCAUUGCUUCACACAUAAAAUUUACCACAUUUGAAAGGAUAGUACAGUUUUUAUUGAACCGAAAGCAACUGUGUGCAAAUCUCAUUCUUAAUCAGUAAACCUCUAUUUAUCAUAUUAAUAAAUGUGGAGUCUCAGAAGACUCAGAACCAAUGUAUAAUGGACCUAGGCACAGAUAUAUACUCUAAAAGGAACAAGAGACAUUUGCAACGACCCACUGAAGCUACAGUACUAAUCAUAAGCUGAAGAGCGUGGACUGAAGUAAUACUUACCAGGGAAAGAACUGAAGGAGCUGUAGGAAGUGCACCUUCCUUAGAUUGAACAAUUAUUUCCUCACAAAUGGCUUCUGGCAAACAAGGAGGCGUUGGUCGCUGCCAUUCUGAAGAUCGAUCACCCUUGCCUCCCAGCGUAUUU